rnacentral:rRNA from 1 species
UUAGAGGAAGUAAAAGUCGUAACAAGGUCUCCGUUGGUGAACCAGCGGAGGGAUCAUUACUGAGUUUACGCUCUACAACCCUUUGUGAACAUACCUAUAACUGUUGCUUCGGCGGGUAGGGUCUCCGCGACCCUCCCGGCCUCCCGCCUCCGGGCGGGUCGGCGCCCGCCGGAGGAUAACCAAACUCUGAUUUAACGACGUUUCUUCUGAGUGGUACAAGCAAAUAAUCAAAACUUUUAACAACGGAUCUCUUGGUUCUGGCAUCGAUGAAGAACGCAGCGAAAUGCGAUAAGUAAUGUGAAUUGCAGAAUUCAGUGAAUCAUCGAAUCUUUGAACGCACAUUGCGCCCGCCAGCAUUCUGGCGGGCAUGCCUGUUCGAGCGUCAUUUCAACCCUCAAGCUCUGCUUGGUGUUGGGGCCCUACAGCCGAUGUAGGCCCUCAAAGGUAGUGGCGGACCCUCCCGGAGCCUCCUUUGCGUAGUAACUUUACGUCUCGCACUGGGAUCCGGAGGGACUCUUGCCGUAAAACCCCCCAAUUUUCCAAAGGUUGACCUCGGAUCAGGUAGGAAUACCCGCUGAACUUAAGCAUAUCA